GGCAAACGGGUGAGUAACGCGUGGGUGACCUGCCUUCGAGUGGGGGAUAACGUUCCGAAAGGGACGCUAAUACCGCAUGACAUCCUGUUUUUGAAGAGGUGGAGAUCAAAGCCGGGGAUCGCAAGACCUGGCGCUCGAAGAGGGGCCCGCGUCCGAUUAGCUAGUUGGUGGGGUAACGGCUCACCAAGGCAACGAUCGGUAGCCGGCCUGAGAGGGCGGACGGCCACACUGGGACUGAGACACGGCCCAGACUCCUACGGGAGGCAGCAGUGGGGAAUUGUUCGCAAUGGGCGCAAGCCUGACGACGCAACGCCGCGUGGAGGAUGAAGAUCUUCGGGUCGUAAACUCCUUUCGAUCGAGACGAACGGCCUCCGGGUGAACAAUCUGGGGGAGUGACGGUACCGAGAGAAGAAGCCCCGGCUAACUCCGUGCCAGCCGCCGCGG
rnacentral:rRNA from 1 species